UACAGAGGUCUCAAGCGUUGUUCGGAUUCAUUGGGCGUAAAGGGUGCGUAGGCGGCGCGGUAAGUCGGGUGUGAAAUCUCGGGGCUUAACUCCGAAACUGCAUUCGAUACUGCCGUGCUUGAGGACUGGAGAGGAGACUGGAAUUCUCGGUGUAGCGGUGAAAUGCGUAGAUAUCGAGAGGAACACCUGCGGCGAAGGCGGGUUGCUGGGCUGAUACUGACGCUGAGGCGCGAAAGCUAGGGGAGCGAACGGG
rnacentral:rRNA from 1 species